UACGUAGGGGGCAAGCGUUGUCCGGAAUCAUUUGGGCGUAAAGCGCACGUAGGCGGCCCGAUCAAGUCCGCUGUGAAAGUCCAAAGGCUCAACCUUUGAAUGACCCGGUGGAUACUGUCGGGCUAGAAUUCGGAAGAGGCGAGUGGAAUUCCUGGUGUAGCGGUGGAAUGCGUAGAGAUCGGGAAGAACAUCAGUGGCGAAGGCGGUCUGCUGGGCCGUUGCUGACGCUGAGGCGCGACAGCGUGGGAGCAAACAGG
rnacentral:rRNA from 1 species